rnacentral:rRNA from 1 species
CCUACGGGUGGCAGCAGUGGGGAAUAUUGGACAAUGGGCGAAAGCCUGAUCCAGCCAUGCCGCGUGUGUGAAGAAGGCCUUCGGGUUGUAAAGCACUUUCAGUGGGGAAGAAAGCCUUGGGGCUAAUACCCUCGAGGAAGGACAUCACCCACAGAAGAAGCACCGGCUAACUCCGUGCCAGCAGCCGCGGUAAUACGGAGGGUGCGAGCGUUAAUCGGAAUUACUGGGCGUAAAGCGCGCGUAGGCGGUCUGAUAAGCCGGUUGUGAAAGCCCCGGGCUCAACCUGGGAACUGCAUCCGGAACCUGCAGGCGAGAGGGCAGGAGAGGAAGGUAGAAUUCCCGGGGUAGCGGGGAAAUGCGGAGGAGUCGGGAGGAAUACCAGUUGCGAAGGCGGCCUUCUGGACUGACACUGGCGGUGAGGUGGGAAAGCGUGGGUAGCAAACAGGAUUAGAUACCCUGGUAGUC